ACUUCCCCCCCCCCCCCCCCCCCACCAAUGAUUUUGAUUUCUUCGUCCUAAGUGAGCUGCUGUAGAGAGAAGAAUGUGGAGAUGGAGGUGGUGUUGGUUUUGGUGUUGGUGCUAAGCAUAUAUUUGAUUUCACUAGGAUCCCAUGGAAGUCUUACUGGUGUUGCUUUCAUUCUUGUUUGAUGAUUGUUGACACUUGGGAGAUUUUACUAAAAUUCAUCAUUAAUGUAUAAAGAUGAUAUAAUAAUAACUUCCAUCCCAGCCAACAACAUACAUCUUUGUUACCUUGUCGAUCCCAUUGUAUUAUAUUACUCCUUCUUCUUCUUCUUCUUCUUCUUCUACUCAAGAGAUUCAUUGUUUUGAUUCUGUAGCUUGUAUACCUCUACGCUUGCUUUGUUCGUUUACGAUCUUUUUAUAGAGGAAACUACCUUGUUCA